UACGUAGGAUGCAAGCGUUGUCCGGAUUUACUGGGCGUAAAGCGCGCGCAGGCGGCAUACCAAGUAUUCAGUGAAAUCUCCCUGCUCAACGGGGAGGGUGCUGAGUAGACUGGUAAGCUAGAGGACGGUAGAGGGGGGUAGAAUUGCUGGUGUAGCGGUGAAAUGCGUAGAGAUCAGCAGGAAUACCCGUGGCGAAGGCGGCCCCCUGGGCCGUUUCUGACGCUGAGGCGCGAAGGCUAGGGGAGCAAACGGG
rnacentral:rRNA from 1 species